GACGAACGCUGGCGGCGUGCUUAACACAUGCAAGUCGAACGGAAAGGCUCCAGCUUGCUGGCGUUCUCGAGUGGCGAGCGGGUGAGAAACACGUGGGUAUUCUGCCUUGUACUGUGUGAUAAGCCUAGGAAAGUGGGUCUAAUACUGGAUAUGACCUUUCGCCAUAUGGGGUUCGUUGGAAAGUUUGUCGGUGUAAGAUGCGCCGUCGGCCUAUCUGCUUGUUGGUGGGGUGGUGGCCUACCAAGGCGACGACGGGUCGCUGACCUGGGAAGGUGAUCAGCCACCUGGGGCCUACGAUACGGCGCAGACGCCUACGGGAGGCAGCAGUCGAGAGUAUUGUACAAUGGGCGGAAGCCUGAGGAGAAGACGCCGCGUGUGGGAUGACGGCCUUCGGGUGGUAAACCUCAUUCAGCUGAGACGUAGCGUAAGUGACGGUACCUGCAGAAGAAGCACCGGCUAACUAUGUG
rnacentral:rRNA from 1 species